GGGGCUGUAACUCAGUGGUAGAGUGUUCGCUUUGCAUUACCCUAAUUCCUUCCGGAAUUGGAUAUGAUACUUAUAUGCGAAAAGCCCAGGGUUCGAUCCCCUGCCGCUCCA
rnacentral:tRNA from 1 species